rnacentral:lncRNA from 1 species
AUUUUGACUGGCUUCCAGAUGCAGUGACCCAUGAGGUUAAUACUGACCAUGGUGAUGUUAACUGUCCUAGUAAAUAGAUUCAAGAGAUGCCAAUCCACUGGGUUCUGGUUUUCUUUAUUUUAUCCAACUUGGAAAACCAUGAACUUUUCAAACCAAGUUCCUGAAUUGGUUACCCUUCCCCCACUUCUCCCAGUUUCCUUAUACUCCAACAUUAUUUGAAACUGCUUAACCCUCAAGAAAAUAUUUGACUUCAAAAGAUCACUUUACAGACAGAGAGAGUUCUGUGAAAUCUUUUCUUUCUGAAAAUUCUUGGUAUAAAUUUAAGGAAAAUUAUAUUUUUCAUAUCACCUCUUCAUUAUAAAAUUAAAAUAUUCUGUAUUUUCUGUUAUCUUGAAGGAAUGUUUCCUGGAGAGUUUAUUCCCACUAAAAACUGCUUUUAAGUGGUAAUGAGAACAUGGAGUCUUUCUGCUACUGUACAUAUACGUGCAAGAGGGAGGAGACAUACUAAAAAGCACAAAGGCAAACUUCAGCCCAUUCAUGACUUGCACUCAUAUUUGGCUCAAUGUUUUCCAACCAUGGUAUACAUUUUAAUGAACAAGGAGACUGGAUAGAGGAUUUUGGUGGCUGACUAAACACAAAAGACAUAGUGAUUUCCAAUGUAUCAAGGUUGAUCUUUUUUAAAUAAUCUAAUUUCUCAACAGAAAGAGUGCUGAAAAGGAUUUAACUAAGCUUAGGUCACAGAAGUGUCCAUAAGGUUCUCUCAGCAUAUCUUGUGUUGACUGUUUGUAAGAACAUGCAGCAUUCAAGAUACUACUACUCAGAAUAAAUGGCAUCACCUACCUCUUGCUCUCUGGUGAACAUUUGACUUACAAAAGCAAUUUACAUAUCUCUUCUUUUCAGCCAUAUACCUAGAUUUUGAGAAUUUUAUUCUCUUAGAAUUAUAGUUUCCUAGAUAUAGAAAAAGAUUCAUUCUAUGACUGAAUUUUUAACACAAUUGUACCUGCCAAAUGUAGUGGCUCAAAUCUCUGCUCAAACACCUUCACAAAUAGAGAGAUCACUCACUCCAUCUUGCCAAAAAUUGCCCAAAAGUUAUUUCCUUAUAUUGAAAUAGAAUAGGAUUUGCCCGUAGCUUUCCUUCAUUGACCUUGUUGCAUUUCUGGAACACAUGCAAAUAAAAAUCUCAACUUGCCUGCUGCUUGAGAAUACUUAAUAUCUGAAGAAAAGUAUCUCGAGCCAUCUAAACCAUCACUUCUAUUCAGGCUAAACAUCCUGUUUCUUCUAAUGUUUGCCAUAUGACAUAGUUUUCCGACACUUCAUCAGCUGCUUGCAGGUUUUGGAAUAUAUUUGCUUCUUUGUAUUCCUUCUAAGAUGUGAUGUCUGUAUGUGCUGGAUGAUACAGUGACACACAGGGCCAUAACCUCCCUUAUUCUAGAUAAUGUGCUUCUGUUUUUCAGCUUAAUACAACAUUGACUUUUUGGCAGCCACACUUCGUGAUUGCGUCACUUUGUAUCAUUGUCACUCAUGAUGCCACAUAGUCCUGUUUCUCCCACUCUAAUCUUAUAAACGCACAUUUAGAUCGAAG